ensembl:lncRNA
AAAACACAAACACUGGUUAACAACAACAGGCUUGGUCGGUAGGUAGCUAAAACACAAACACUGGUAAACAACAACGGGCUUGGUAGGUAGCUAAAACACAAACACUGGUAAACAACAACAGGCUUGGUCGGUAGGUAGCUAAAACACAAACACUGGUAAACAACAACAGGCUUGUUAGGUAGCUAAAACACAAACACUGGUUAACAACAACAGGCUUGUUAGGUAGGUAGCUAAAACACAAACACUGGUAAACAACAACAGGCUUGUUAGGUAGCUAAAACACAAACACUGGUAAACAACAACAGGCUUGUUAGGUAGCUAAAACACAAACACUGGUUAACAACAACGGGCUUGUUAG